AUCCCAGCGUUUACACUAGGGUCACAUCGUACCUUGACUUCAUUCUCCAAGCGAUGCAAUAAUAUGAUAUUACUGUUCCAUAAAUAUCAUUGUGUAAAAAACGUAAAGUUGGAUUUUCUUAUUGUGGAGAUAAGAAACAGCUCAAAUUUACAUUGUUUUGUACGUUACAAAUUAUAGGCUUAAAAUGUACGAAAUGUAACUUUGAAACGACACUAAUUUUUUACGCACGAUAAACCUCCACGACUUAGAUUAUAGAUUCCUAUACGACUCUCAGUAAAAAUUUAUCCGCACUCCAGAUAGUUAAAACUUCUGUCGACCGUAUUGAUCCAUCUGCACUCUUCGUAUGACGUCAAUAUCUGCUCAGUGCUGCUGCGCAGGUUUCUUUGUGUUACGUCAAUUCGUUUGUGACCGUUGCGCGAGUAAUGGCGCUUUGCAAUGGUGAUUUGCAGGAAAACAGUGCAGGAUGCUGUGAUUCGUUUCUUGUGGUCGGAGGUUAUGUUUGAUGCCUAUAUUUAUCAAAGAUUUAAUGCACAUUAUGGAGAAAGUGUUUUGUCACGAAGUGUGUUUGAAUGGGCACAAAAGUUCAAAGAAGAUCGCACGAGUGUUAUGAAAAAACAGCUGGACGCCCGUCCACAUCCACGAUGACAACAUUGAACGUGCUCAUGAACUUAUGCUCUAUGGAAUAGACGAGUGACACUGGAUAAUGUGGCAAAUCAUUUGCAAAUCAGCCACGGCUCUGCUUAUGCAAUAGUGCACGACAGAUUUGGAUUUUAAAAAGUUUGUGCGAGAUGGAUGCCGAAAAAGCUGAUGAAAAGGUGAAGACGACGAUGCAUUCGUGGUUCGCAGCUCAGCCCAAAACAUUUUUUAAUGAGAAAAUACAAAGGUCCUUCGGCAAAUGGACAAAGUGUAUACAGAAAUCGAGUGAUUAUGUCAAAAAAUGAUGUAUGUCUUUUUUGACAAUUGCUUAAAAUAAAUUCUACACCGACAGAGCGGGCUGUUAAUCUAGAGGCUGGAGUACAAAGAAGUGGCACAAUGAUGUGGGCUGAUGACAUUUAUAAUUAUCAAGGAAUCACCCCUACAUUCGCUCAGAAUUUUAAUGAAACUGUCCCUUGGGAAGGAAGAACUGAUACCUUGAUAUCAUGGUUUGUACAUCCUAUAUAUACGACAAAUUUUAGAACAUUAUAUAACGAAGAACCAGAUCGUCGUGGCCAUGUGAUGUGAAUAAAAGGACUUGAAUUUGAUGAUAUUUUUAUAAUGUUAGAUAACAUAACUAAGUAUCUUCACAGUAAGAUAGGAUG